CGUGUAGGCGGUUUGGCAAGUCAGAGGUGAAAUCCCCGGCUCAACCGGGACCUGCCUUUGAAACUACCGAACUUGAGGCCGUGAGAGGAAACUGGAAUUCCUAGUGUAGCGGUGAAAUGCAUAGAUAUUAGGAAGUACACCAGUGGCGAAGGCGAGUUUCUGGCACGGUUCUGACGCUGAUGCGCGAAAGCUAGGGGAGCGAACG
rnacentral:rRNA from 1 species